rnacentral:rRNA from 1 species
CAACUCGACUGCACGAAGCUGGAAUCGCUAGUAAUCGCGGAUCAGCACGCCGCGGUGAAUACGUUCCCGGGCCUUGUACACACCGCCCGUCACACCAUGGAAGUCUGCAAUGCCCGAAGCCGGUGGCCUAACCACUUAUGUGGAAGGAGCCGUCUAAGGCAGGGCAGAUGACUGGGGUGAAGUCGUAACAAGGUAAC